rnacentral:hammerhead_ribozyme from 1 species
ACCUUGCUGACGAGUGUCAAGUAAGACGAAACCCGGGUCUAGGGU